UGGGGAAUAUUGGACAAUGGGCGCAAGCCUGAUCCAGCAAUGCCGCGUGUGUGAAGAAGGCCUUCGGGUUGUAAAGCACUUUUAUCAGGAGCGAAAUACUAUCGGUUAAUAACCGGUGGGGCUGACGGUACCUGAGGAAUAAGCACCGGCUAACUUCGUGCCAGCAGCCGCGGUAAUACGAAGGGUGCAAGCGUUAAUCGGAAUUACUGGGCGUAAAGGGUGCGUAGGCGGUUAGUUAAGUCUGUUGUGAAAUCCCCGGGCUCAACCUGGGAAUGGCAAUGGAUACUGGCUAGCUAGAGUGUGGUAGAGGGUAGUGGAAUUCCCGGUGUAGCGGUGAAAUGCGUAGAGAUCGGGAGGAACACCAGUGGCGAAGGCGGCUACCUGGACCAGCACUGACACUCAGACACGAAAGCGUGGGGAGCAAAC
rnacentral:rRNA from 1 species